UACAGAGGUCCCGAGCGUUGUUCGGAUUUAUUGGGCGUAAAGGGUGCGUAGGCGGCGGAGUAAGUUGGGUGUGAAAUCCCGGGGCUCAACCUCGGAAUGGCAUUCAAUACUGCUUCGCUAGAGUACUGGAGAGGAGGCUGGAAUUUACGGUGUAGCAGUGAAAUGCGUAGAUAUCGUAAGGAAGGCCGGUGGCGAAAGCGAGCCUCUGGACAGUUACUGACGCUGAUGCACGAAGGCCAGGGGAGCAAACGGGG
rnacentral:rRNA from 1 species